rnacentral:rRNA from 1 species
CGUGUAGGCGGCCAGAUAAGUCCGCUGUGAAAUCUCGAGGCUCAACUUCGAGCUGUCGGUGGAAACUGUCUGGCUAGAGUCCGGAAGAGGAGAAUGGAAUUCCUGGUGUAGCGGUGAAAUGCGCAGAUAUCAGGAAGAACACCCGUGGCGAAGGCGGUUCUCUGGGACGGUACUGACGCUGAGACGCGAAAGCGUGGGGAGCGAACAGGAUUAGAUACCCUGGUAGUCCACGCCGUAAACGAUGGGUGCUAGGUGUGGGGGGUGUCGACUCCCUCCGUGCCGAAGCUAACGCAUUAAGCACCCCGCCUGGGGAGUACGGCCGCAAGGCUAAA